GACGAACGCUGGCGGCGUGCUUAACACAUGCAAGUCGAACGGAAAGGCCCUGCUUGCCGGGUGCUCGAGUGGCGAACGGGUGAGUAACACGUGGGUGAUCUGCCCCUUACUUUGGGAUAAGCCUGGGAAACUGGUUCUAAUACUGGAUAGGUCCAUGCUGUAGGAGGUGUGGUGGAAAGCUUAGUUUCGGUAAGGGAUGAGCUCCGGGCCGAUCAGCUUGUUGGUGGGGUAAUGGCCUACCCAGGCGUCGACGGGUAGCCGGCCUGAGUGGGUGGACGGCCACGUUGGGACUGAUAUACGGGCCAGACUCCUACGGGAGGCAGCAAUGGGGGAUAUUGCACAAUGGGCGCAAGCCUGAUGCAGCGACGCCGCGUGGGUGAUGACGGCCUUCUGGUUGUAAACACCUUUCAUCCAUGACGAAGCCCUUGUGGUGACGGUAGUGGUAGAAGAAGCACCGGCUAACUACGUG
rnacentral:rRNA from 1 species